AGUGAACGCUGGCGGUAGGCCUAACACAUGCAAGUCGAACGGCAGCACAGUAAGAGCUUGCUCUUACGGGUGGCGAGUGGCGGACGGGUGAGGAAUACAUCGGAAUCUACUUUUUCGUGGGGGAUAACGUAGGGAAACUUACGCUAAUACCGCAUACGACCUACGGGUGAAAGCAGGGGAUCUUCGGACCUUGCGCGAUUGAAUGAGCCGAUGUCGGAUUAGCUAGUUGGCGGGGUAAAGGCCCACCAAGGCGACGAUCCGUAGCUGGUCUGAGAGGAUGAUCAGCCACACUGGAACUGAGACACGGUCCAGACUCCUACGGGAGGCAGCAGUGGGGAAUAUUGGACAAUGGGCGCAAGCCUGAUCCAGCCAUACCGCGUGGGUGAAGAAGGCCUUCGGGUUGUAAAGCCCUUUUGUUGGGAAAGAAAAGCAGCAGGUUAAUACCCCGCUGUUCUGACGGUACCCAAAGAAUAAGCACCGGCUAACUUCGUGCC
rnacentral:rRNA from 1 species